GACAGAGGUCCCGAGCGUUAGGCGGAAUCACUGGGCUUAAAGCGUGUGUAGGCGGAUGCCUAAGUACCUUGUGAAAUCCCACGGCUCACCCGUGGAACUGCUUGGUAUACUGGGUGUCUUGAGCCACUUAGGGGCUACCGGAACAAAUGGUGGAGCGGUGAAAUGCGUAGAUAUCUGGAGGAACACCGGUGGCGAAGGCGGCAUCCUGGACCAACACUGACACUGAGGAGCGAAAGCCAGGGGAGCAAACGGG
rnacentral:rRNA from 1 species